rnacentral:rRNA from 1 species
UGAGGAACAUGACUUUCGGCGGGGGAUAGCCGGCCCAACGGCCGGGUAAUACCGCGUACGACCUCUCGGGGACAUCCCCGGUUGGUGAAAGCAGCAAUGCACCGAAAGAGUGCCUCGCGGCCUAUCAGCUAGUUGGUGAGGUAACGGCUCACCAAGGCGACGACGGGUAGCUGGUCUGAGAGGAUGGCCAGCCACAUUGGGGACUGAGACACGGCCCAGACCUCCGUACGGGGUGGC